GGAAAAUGGGAAUACCAUCUCCUAGUAAGAUGUAGGUUCUGAGCCCCGUCCUACAUAUGGUAAAUAUUGCAUAAAUAUAGCCAGAAUUGGUAUAACUGAAGGUCUUUUUAGAAAAAAACAAGGACCUGUUUGGCUAAACUGUUCAAAAGAAGGAUUUACUGACCCACUUUUAA